AGCAACGCCAACCGACUGCAAUGAUUCUCCCCCACUCCGCGCACAAACCCAAAAGCAGAUAAGGGAGAAGAAAGACGCCACCUAAUAAUGUCCUAAUCCCCCGACCUCCUCCCCUCGAUCGAAAUUCCAAUUCCAAGGAGAGAGAAAAAAAUAGCGACUGAGAGCAACGGUGCGUGCGUGCGAGCGAGGGAACCCAGGCGAGGUAGCGGAUCCCCCGGACGGACGGGUGGUUCUAGGGUUAGGGUUUGCGGCGGCGUUGGGGCUGGGGACCGUGCGUGCGCCUCCUUCGACGGCGAGCCGGAUGCUAUGCUGCUAGGCUGCGGGUCGCUCUCCUCGUGGGUGCGCCGCCUCGUCGCCUGCGUGGGAAAUUGUUUUGGAUGUGCGAAGUCUACUCCUAUAACAGCUGUUGAUGAGCCUUCUAAAGGUUUAAGGAUUCAAGGGCGCUCGAUUAAACAUCGUAGUUUGUCUGAAGAUUUUUGGAGUACAAGUCCACGUGAAAUGGAGAACAGUGCCUUGCAGUCACAGCGUAGUAUGUCUUCCAUCAGCACAGCAGCACAAUCUAGUGAGCAGCAUGGAGCUGGAAGUAGCAGCAACCCAAAUGAGUUUGUAAAUCAAGGUCUUCUACUCUGGAACCAGACUAGACAGCAGUGGGUUGGAAACAGAAGGCUUAAUUCUCAGCGUCAAAAGACCCGGGAGCCAAAAAUAGGUUGGAAUGCUACAUAUGAGAGCCUGCUAGGAAGCACCAAGACAUUUGCACAGCCGAUCCCUCUUGGUGAAAUGGUAGAUUUCCUCGUGGACGGCUGGGAGCAGGAGGGCCUAUAUGAUUAGCUGCUUAAUUAAAGGGUGGUGGUAUUGUCUGGGGUCUCGUUGUUAAUCGCUGGAAUGUACUCAACUUUGGUUUAAUCAAAGCGUGUGGGUGAUGAAUGUGGAUUAUCCUCGUGACAGGAUGGCAUCCCUUUUUCUUUUAAAGUAAAUGUAACAUAUUUUUAUCCUACUAUUUUUUUUAACAUUUAGCAUUGUGGUCUCCCCCUGCCUAGUUUAUGUGUUUAUUUACAUUUAUUUAGUAGCAGGAAACAGUCUUGGACUCGGAGAGUUUGUGAUCUUUUCUUACGUGAGAGUAAGGAAUGGAAAUGGGACGUUGGUGCGGGAGGUGUUCUGGCCAAAAGAUGCGCAGGAGAUCUUGAAGAUAAAACUACCCAAACGGGAGGAGGAUCAUCCAGGCACUUCUUUGUUUGAAGUGCGUACAAGCUGGCAUAGUAAUUUGAAGCAGUCCGAUGAAAAUCAGACCGGAAGUAGUAUUGCUCGGAAGGGCGACCGGAAUAUGUGGAACUUGGUGUGGAAUGUUAAAUCCCUAGCCUCUGAUAAUCUCGCUACAAAGCAG
rnacentral:rRNA from 1 species